AAGGGAAACCAUUAACGAGGCAUCCUAAUCUUUAAAUGGGACCGGCUUCCCUCUUUUACUUUGCAGCCGACUUUUUUUUUUUUUGCUUUUUUAAAACGCUUUACAUUUUUUUUUUUAAUAUCUAAUUUUACUUUUUACAAAUUUAUGGAAUUACCUUAAUGCCCUUUAUUUUUCAAGAAAUUACUAAAUGCCAGCUCACAGGUGUGCAUUGAGUGCAACGCAUGCUUCAAC
rnacentral:lncRNA from 1 species